ensembl:lncRNA
UAAAACAGCUUCCUAUUGCUAUGGGCAGCAACAAAUACAUUCAUCAUGGGUGGUUCUCUGUGCUUCUGCUAACAAGAAGUCAAAGCACUUCCUUAUACUCUCUCUUUGCUGAGAUGGAGGCACUAUGUUUGAUUCUUCUAUGCUGCUUCCUGAUACAAUGCUACGGGUCCACUCACUUUCAUUACCUAAAGAAAGGGGAGGAGGUAACACUGUCCUGUGAAACAUGUCAAUGGGAGGCCGAUGUAAAUUCAGACAACAUAGUGGACUGCGGUGUCAUAGACAGUAUUUAUACAACAAACUCAAAAUGCAAAGCUCAAAGACAGGAUCUAUGCCAAGAGAUAAAGAAAAACAAAUCCACCAGUUGUGAAAUCUGUGUAAUGAGGGGAUUCUUUGCCUGUGUCAAUGCUGAAUCUGACUCCUGCUUCAUGCAUCCAUUUAAACCCUCUUCUCAUCAUGUGGAGUCCUUCAUUGUUGCUCAGGCAGAACCAGACAUUGUGUCUGGACCUGUAAUGGAAAACUCAGUGCUUGUGUCUGGAGGAGAAUCAAUUAAUCUGACGUGUGAUUUAAAAACAAAGGGGUAUUAUCCCAAUAAUCCUUUUGUGGUGUACUGGAUCAAGACUGGUGCUCACAGCAGCACAUGUGUGUAUUCCUUUGAUUACGCUACUGAUGAUUUUGGUUUUGAUGCCCACUGUGCCAUUGACAAAGAUCUUCUGUUAAGGAGAUCACACACAUCAAAACCCUCCCUUGAUGAUAACAACAUCCAUAACCUGAAGAUCAGCAAAGCCACUCAGUCAGACCGUGGACAGUAUCUGUGUGUCUUACAGGUGAACACAUAUAGUUAUAACCAGCAUGCUUGGGCAGUAAUAACCAACACCACAGUCAUUGUGGGUAAUCCUGAUUCCCAUCUCAUCUAUGUGAUUGGUGCAUUAGUACCCGUUCUUCUCCUCCUCCCUGUCAUCAUCAUCAUCAUCAUCAUACUGCUUAAAAGGAAAUCAGCUGAGACCAAAGUGUCUCAGACUACAAUAACUCAAAGAUAUCAGAACGGGGAGGGAGUGGAUGAUGACGACUGUUCCCCUUAUGCGGUGAGCCAGGGAGAGCAGGAACCAGCGUACUCAUUCAUACAGCUGACCAAUCAGAAGACUGACCCUGUGUUCAGUGGGGAUGGAGAACUCACUUCAGACCCAUCUGCAGAUGAGGCCAUCACGAGGAUGAACUCCAUAUAUGAAACCUCAGGUCCAUAGUCUCAAACUGCCUGACAGUUUCUUGUGUGAGUUCUCAGUCAGGGACAUGAGAGGACUACUAGACAUCCUGCAUAAAGACCAAGAUUACACGAUCGGCCUGUUCACAACCCAUAAAUAACCGCGUUUGUCCUGUUUCAGUUAAAAUGAGGAAGGAACUCUUGCUGUCACAACUUCCUGACUGAAACCUAAAAUUCCCCCAGAUUAAUUAGUUUCUCUCUUUAGUCUUGCUAUACCCUAUAAUGAUCCAGUUCCCUGCAGUUUCUCACUGUAGUCUUGCUAUACCCCGACCCAAUUCCCUGGAGCAAGUUCAUUGAAUAUCCAGAAAGGGAAGAAACUGUAAAAUGGACAGCUUGCAUACGCUUACACUUAUCUCUUAUCUCAGGUAGUUGCAUCCAUUAUUUUCAUGUAAUGAAGUUCAGUUGAUAUGAAUUUUUCAUUAUAUUUAAAACACCUGUAUGAAUGAAUGUUCCACUAUUUGAGCUAUGCUUCUAUAGGUAACUAGUGUUGGUAUCAUCUUCAAAUUCAUUUUGAUGGCAUCUGGUCAUGUGAAAGACCGAUAAACACACCUGCUGUCCCCACUGGCUGCCCAGGCUAUGCACUAUGCAGUUCUGUAAUCUGGCUCAGAAACCCUGUGAAAAUGGAAAAAAAGGAAUCUUUUGACAGAACAGUGUUGCCAACUAUUUCUCCAAAAGACACCAGUGUCAACUGUGCUGUUGUUGUUUGCAAGGCCUUUGCAUGCCUUUUAGAUAGUUAGCUUGCUAGUUUAAUACCCCAAAACUCCUUACUGCUGCUUUGUUUGUGGGCUUUUCCCACAGCUGUAUAGAAUAUAUAGAUAGAAUAGAUACAUAUGACUGUAUUGUUGUGUUUCGUUGGAUAGUCAUUUCUGAUGUUGGUACAUUGAGCCAAUAUGCUUGAGGUUGUUCAAAUGUGUUUGCAUGUGUUGUUUGUAAAUAAGCCAAACUGAUAAAUGAACUAAUUAAACUGUAAAUUAAAAAAGUCAGUCUUGAAGGAAAGGGGGCAUUUGUUUUUGUAGUUUCACAGAUACACCCAGUUUACCAGUUAAUAUGGUGAAGCAACUCUCGGUUUCACACAGUAAGCAUUGUGUGUAGUUUUUUUAGCACUCCCAAAAUACUCUGAAAGAGUCAACUUUUCUUUUUAAAGUCACUCAUUCUCUACAUAUUUUUCUGGUCUGUACAAGUUAACUGGUAACCCUCAGUUAGUCUAAAGAGAGCGACCUGUUUAUUACACUGAGGGUCUACAGAACCAAAACGAUCUACUGUCCAUUGCAAAGUAUUGCUUCCAUGUUUUUUACGGCAGUCUACUUUAGGUGACGUUGCUGGGCUCCCCACUAGAUGGAGCUAUUGUGCUAUACAUUUCACCUUAAUGUAGAUAUUAAUAUGACUAUAAGGUAAGCUGUUUCAAAUACAUCGAAAGAUUAGGCUACUUCAAUACACGUCGGCGUAAAAUUAUAUAACUGAAAUGACAUAGCUAAAUAUGCAUGAACAUUUUGUUAUAGGAGCAGUCACAGACCUUAGAAGUGAGGCAGACAUUGUAAUGCUCCAAGAAGCUCACUGAUCUGAAUUGGAUGUCAAAUUUUGGAGAUCACAAUGGGGAAAUACUAUACAUUAUAGUCAUGGAAGUAAUAACUCAGCAGGGGUUGCUAUACUUUUACACAAAUUCAAAGGUGAAGUGUUAGAAACAGUGAAAUCCUCUGAAGGAAGAUGGGUGAUGAUUGUCAUAAAGCAAGACAAUGGCAUUUUUAUUGUAUGUAAUGUUUAUGGAUAUAAUUCACAUUUGUCCAACAAAACUUUAUUUGUCCAGAUAUCGAAUAAUGCCAAAUUACUUCUUGACAAAUAUAGUGACUCUUAUGUUAUCUUUGAGGUGACUUUAACGGAUGUGUCGAUUCUAGUGUUGAUAGAUUCCCCCCCAGAUUGAGUAAGGUCUGUGUUCUGUCCUUGUUCGGUUUCCCCAGAUUGAGUAAGGUCUGUGUUCUGUCCUUGUUCGGUUUCUGAGUUUGUCUCCCUUGUGUUGUCACAUGUUUGUUCCCUUGUCUAGUCCUUGUGCUUUCUUGAUCCCGCCAGGGGGGUAUUCGUCGUAGCUCGCUAAGCAGUUUAGCGAGCUAAUUUUCAGGCUAAGAUAAAAAACGCCCCUCUUUUUGGUUUGUGGAAGCAACUUUUGAUAAAUCACCAUAGUUACAUAUCGAUUAGCACUAACCUGCUCCAGGGCAGGCUAACUUAAGUGUAGCUGGAUAAGCUUGCCACACCCCCAGAAAAAGGAGGGAUCCCAUUGACCAAGGACUGAUAUUAGAUAGUUAAUAAGAUUAGCGGAGGGAGAGAGUUCUUUGCAAUCGCCAAGAUCAAUUAUUCUUGUAUGAGCGCUACCGAUUCAGCCGACAAGGAAUCAUUAAUUUACAAGACCUUCUCGAGUGAUUUAUUGCAAACACCACAGUCGAACAUUGACUGUCUUGCGCUUUUUUGCGAGUGAUACAUUUUUGUAGUGUCGGUGAUGCGAAGAACAACAGUUAUUCAUACACACAUAUCACCCUAUAAACAUCCCAACACACCUUGCUCUCACAGCGGUGGUGGUGUUGAAUUUGGCCAUGAUUAUGGUCUUGUAUUCAUCAUAAGCGUUCAUGUUCAUCUCCUACUCGCCAGCGGAGAAAAAAUAGCCCUUUUCUUUGAGUUUAGAACCAUUAUACCGUUAGAAAAUCAUGGUUUUGGUGAUCGACCUUUCCUGCCUUUUGAAGUAGGACGUGCACGCGCAAAUGCCAUGAUAACUUUAGCCUGGUUGAAAUUAACCACAUGAUUUGGAUGCGGAUCAGCCGUUAACGAACCGAUAUUUGCUGUUCUCAAUCAGCUCGCUAAUCUUAACGGGCUAAAAGGCUAAUUGAUUAACUUAGCUUCAACC